rnacentral:rRNA from 1 species
AACGAACGCUGGCGGCAUGCCUAACACAUGCAAGUCGAACGAGACCUUCGGGUCUAGUGGCGCACGGGUGCGUAACGCGUGGGAACCUGCCCUUAGGUUCGGAAUAACUCCCCGAAAGGGGUGCUAAUACCGGAUAAUGUCUUCGGACCAAAGAUUUAUCGCCUUUGGAUGGGCCCGAGUUGGAUUAGCUAGUUGGUAGGGUAAAAGACUACCAAGGCGACGAUCCAUAGCUGGUCUGAGAGGAUGAUCAGCAACACUGAGACUGAGACGCGGCCCAGACUCCUACGGGAGGCAGCAGUGGGGGAUAUUGGACAAUGGGCGGAAUCCUGAUCCAGCAAUGCCGCGUGAGUGAUGAAGGCCUUAGAGUUGUAAAGCUCUUUUACCCGGGAUGAUAAUGACAGUACCGGGAGAAUAAGCUCCGGCUAACUCCGCG